CGCAAUGUGUACAGUUUGCAGAGACGUGUGAUCGAAGAUAAUACGAGGAAAUAUAUUUACCGGCUGCGUGUCCAACCUAGGUAAAACUUCACAAUUAGCGUUUAUUUGCGACUUCCCGAGCAUGCGUCAUUCUAUCGACGGGCUUCAAGAAAUGGCGCAGUGGAGGGCUACCUGUGUUUUUUUUUUUUUACCGGCUGGGCUUUUUUAAGGAACGGCUGCUGACUGGUGAGCUCUCGCCCCAGUACUGUCGUGGAGCCCAGUACGAGGAGAUGCACCAGGUAUAGCGCGAACGACAGCCUUCCCAGCGGAUACAUGAUGGGCCAGGCGAGGAUCUUGGUGACG